UGUGGGAGCUGGCUUGCCUGCGAUGCAGGCACCUCGGUCAUUCAGCGAGACCGAGGUGAUGCUAUCGCGGGCAAGCCCGCUCCCACA
rnacentral:antisense_RNA from 1 species